rnacentral:lncRNA from 1 species
UAACUCAUGUUGGUUCACCCUCGACUGAUUAGGGAGGUUUCGAUUUAGGUCUCACUCGAUCGCGUAUUCACAUCUCAUGCAAAUAUAAGUCUACCCGCAUAAUCAUAAGCAUUAAACAUCCAGGUAUUUAUCAAAAAUAAAAUUAAAUGGUGAUGAUCAUGGAUCCAGGAUAGGGUCAUUUUACAAGCACAUGCACGUCAA